CGAUCGUCGGAAGAAACUCCAACAGUUCAAGUGUCAAAAUUGUUGAAGUGACCUACAAUGGCACUCCCGAACAUAAGCCAUUUUGCGACAUCUCAACUACUUUGAAAAGUUGCAAUACAGCCUGUAGAGUCUAUACUCAUGAUGGAACAAAGCAACCAUCAAGAUACAAAAAGAGACGAACAAAAUUAUUGAAGUGACUUACAGUGGAACUCCAGAACACAAGUCAUCUUUCGACAUGUCCACUAUACUGGAAAGGUCUCAUGAUGACUCAUUGGAUCAUGCAGAUGAUGAGGAUGCUCAGUCAGAUGCACCYGAGGUGCCUYUCUCCGCAUCGCCAAUCUCGAGGUCAGUAUACAUAACUAAUAMAAGCCAUUUUCCAAAACAAGCAGUUGUAGUCCUCACAAKUUUUUAAGUCCSCUAAAAUUUUCUCCAAAGSCAUUUUAUCUUUUUCUUUGUGAAUUAG